GAGUUUGAUCUUGGCUCAGGAUGAACGCUAGCGGCAGGCUUAAUACAUGCAAGUCGUGGGGCAGCAGGUCUGUAGCAAUACAGAUGCUGGCGACCGGCAAACGGGUGCGGAACACGUACACAACCUUCCUUUAAGUGGGGGAUAGCCCAGGGAAACUUGGAUUAAUACCCCGUAAUAUAUAGAAGCGGCAUCGCUUUUAUAUUAUAGCAGCAAUGCGCUUGAAGAUGGGUGUGCGGCUGAUUAGAUAGUUGGCGGGGUAACGGCCCUCCAAGUCGACGAUCAGUAACUGGUGUGAGAGCACGACCAGUCACACGGGCACUGAGACACGGGCCCGACUCCUACGGGAGGCAGCAGUAAGGAAUAUUGGUCAAUGGACGCAAGUCUGAACCAGCCAUGCCGCGUGGAGGAUGAAGGUCCUCUGGAUUGUAAACUUCUUUUAUCUGGGAAGAAUCCACUUUUUCUAAGGU
rnacentral:rRNA from 1 species